GACGAACGCUGGCGGCGUGCUUAACACAUGCAAGUCGAACGAUGAAGCCGGAGCUUGCUCUGGUGAAUUAGUGGCGAACGGGUGAGUAACACGUGAGUAACCUGCCCUUGACUCUGGGAUAACUGCUAGAAAUGGUAGCUAAUACCGGAUACGACCCUCGGCGGCAUCGCCAGGGGGUGGAAAGAAUUUCGGUCAAGGAUGGACUCGCGGCCUAUCAGCUAGUUGGUGAGGUAACGGCUCACCAAGGCGACGACGGGUAGCCGGCCUGAGAGGGUGAACGGCCACACUGGGACUGAGACACGGACCAGACUCCUACGUGAGGCAGCAGUGGGGAAUAUUGAACAGUGGGCGCAAGCCUGAUGCAGUAACGCCGCGUGAGGGAUGACGGCCUUCGGGUUGUAAACCUCUUUUAGUAGGGAAGAAGCGAAAGUGACGGUACCUGCAGAAAAAGCACCGGCUAACUACGUGCCAGCCGCCGCGGUAA
rnacentral:rRNA from 1 species